rnacentral:tRNA from 1 species
CAAAUUAAAGCUUUAAGAAGUAUUUUAUUUACAUUAAAAAGAUUAUUAAUUAAUAUAAUUUGA